AUUUAAAUAGUUUAAGAAAAAAUUUUGAAUUGUGAUUUCAAAGAUGUAUAAUAACUUUAAAUU
rnacentral:tRNA from 1 species